GUGGCGAACGGGUGAGUAACACGUGAGCAACCUGCCCCUGACUCUGGGAUAAGCGCUGGAAACGGCGUCUAAUACUGGAUACGAGACGUGACCGCAUGGUCAACGUUUGGAAAGAUUUUUCGGUUGGGGAUGGGCUCGCGGCCUAUCAGCUUGUUGGUGAGGUAAUGGCUCACCAAGGCGUCGACGGGUAGCCGGCCUGAGAGGGUGACCGGCCACACUGGGACUGAGACACGGCCCAGACUCCUACGGGAGGCAGCAGUGGGGAAUAUUGCACAAUGGGCGGAAGCCUGAUGCAGCAACGCCGCGUGAGGGAUGACGGCCUUCGGGUUGUAAACCUCUUUUAGCAGGGAAGAAGCGAAAGUGACGGUACCUGCAGAAAAAGCGCCGGCUAACUACGUGCCAGCAGCCGCGGUAAUACGUAGGGCGCAAGCGUUAUCCGGAAUUAUUGGGCGUAAAGAGCUCGUAGGCGGUUUGUCGCGUCUGCUGUGAAAUCUGGGGGCUCAACCCCCAGCCUGCAGUGGGUACGGGCAGACUAGAGUGCGGUAGGGGAGAUUGGAAUUCCUGGUGUAGCGGUGGAAUGCGCAGAUAUCAGGAGGAACACCGAUGGCGAAGGCAGAUCUCUGGGCCGUAACUGACGCUGAGGAGCGAAAGGGUGGGGAGCAAACAGGCUUAGAUACCCUGGUAGUCCACCCCGUAAACGUUGGGAACUAGUUGUGGGGUCCAUUCCACGGAUUCCGUGACGCAGCUAACGCAUUAAGUUCCCCGCCUGGGGAGUACGGCCGCAAGGCUAAAACUCAAAGGAAUUGACGGGGACCCGCACAAGCGGCGGAGCAUGCGGAUUAAUUCGAUGCAACGCGAAGAACCUUACCAAGGCUUGACAUAUACGAGAACGGGCCAGAAAUGGUCAACUCUUUGGACACUCGUAAACAGGUGGUGCAUGGUUGUCGUCAGCUCGUGUCGUGAGAUGUUGGGUUAAGUCCCGCAACGAGCGCAACCCUCGUUCUAUGUUGCCAGCACGUAAUGGUGGGAACUCAUGGGAUACUGCCGGGGUCAACUCGGAGGAAGGUGGGGAUGACGUCAAAUCAUCAUGCCCCUUAUGUCUUGGGCUUCACGCAUGCUACAAUGGCCGGUACAAAGGGCUGCAAUACCGCGAGGUGGAGCGAAUCCCAAAAAGCCGGUCCCAGUUCGGAUUGAGGUCUGCAACUCGACCUCAUGAAGUCGGAGUCGCUAGUAAUCGCAGAUCAGCAACGCUGCGGUGAAUACGUUCCCGGGUCUUGUACACACCGCCCGUCAAGUCAUGAAAGUCGGUAAC
rnacentral:rRNA from 1 species